UACCAGCACCCCGAGUGGUCGGGACGUUUAUUGGGCCUAAAGCAUCCGUAGCCGGUUCUACAAGUCUUCCGUUAAAUCCACCUGCUUAACAGAUGGGCUGCGGAAGAUACUAUGGAGCUAGGAGGCGGGAGAGGCAAGCGGUACUCGAUGGGUAGGGGUAAAAUCCGUUGAUCCAUUGAAGACCACCAGUGGCGAAGGCGGCUUGCCAGAACGCGCUCGACGGUGGGGGAUGAAAGCUGGGGGAGCAAACCGG
rnacentral:rRNA from 1 species